rnacentral:ncRNA from 1 species
UGUCGUGAGGCAGGGUCUGAAGGAAGCAGGAGGCAAAAUCGCGGGCCUACGGACAGAAACCGCAUAUAAGGCUGAAUCAAGCGGAUGAGUCUGCAAAAUAAGGCGAAAUCCAGAACUGGGCUUGAAGAGUAAAUGCGGAGGCUAUAUGCGAGGAAGGUCAAU